rnacentral:rRNA from 1 species
CCUACGGGAGGCAGCAGUAGGGAAUUUUGCGCAAUGGGCGAAAGCCUGACGCAGCAACGCCGCGUGAUCGAGACGCCCUUCGGGGUGUAAAGAUCUGUCAGUGGGGACGAAACUUGACGGUACCCACAGAGGAAGCACCGGCUAACUCCGUGCCAGCAGCCGCGGUAAUACGGGGGGUGCAAGCGUUGUCCGGAAUCAUUGGGCGUAAAGAGUUCGUAGGCGGCACGUAAAGUCUGGUGUUAAAGGCAGAGGCUCAACUUCUGUACGGCACUGGAUACUUGCGAGCUAGAAUGCGGUAGAGGUAAAGGGAAUUCCUGGUGUAGCGGUGAAAUGCUUAGAUAUCACACAGAACACCGAUUGCGAAGGCAUCUGACGAAUCGGAGAUUGACGCUGAUGCACGAAAGCGUGGGUAUCGAACAGGAUUAGAUACCCUUGUAGUC